GAUGAACGCUGGCGGCGUGCUUAACACAUGCAAGUCGAACGGUGAAGGCGGAGCUUGCUCUGCUGGAUCAGUGGCGAACGGGUGAGUAACACGUGAGCAAUCUGCCCCUGACUCUGGGAAAAGCGCUGGAAACGGCGUCUAAUACUGGAUACGAGCUGCGAAGGCAUCUUCAGCAGCUGGAAAGAAUUUCGGUCAGGGAUGAGCUCGCGGCCUAUCAGCUUGUUGGUGAGGUAAUGGCUCACCAAGGCGUCGACGGGUAGCCGGCCUGAGAGGGUGACCGGCCACACUGGGACUGAGACACGGCCCAGACUCCUACGGGAGGCAGCAGGGGGGAAUAUUGCACAAUGGGCGAAAGCCUGAUGCAGCAACGCCGCGUGAGGGACGACGGCCUUCGGGUUGUAAACCUCUUUUAGCAGGGAAGAAGCGAAAGUGACGGUACCUGCAGAAAAAGCGCCGGCUAACUACGU
rnacentral:rRNA from 1 species